CAUACAAAUUCAACUCUUUUGUCCAAAAUCAAUCUGACAUCAUCAUCACCAUCAUCAUCUUCAUCUUCAUCAUUCUUUCCAUGGUCAAAUUCAAAUUCCACACAAAAGUCCCAAUGAAAUUGCCGUACAGAUAAACUUCAAUCGCGAGAAAAUUGAGGAAACAGAUAAAGGAAGAAAACGAGAAACCUAAGAAAAUCGUAGAUAGUAAUUCAAAGCAGCUGGAUGCAGAAUAUAAUACAAUCUUGCUGCUUCAAUUGGCUGAAAUCCUCAUAUUCCCCGCCCACAUGGGCCACUGCUAUAGGCGGCGUUUUUGUCAUCGUCACACUUAUUCUCUCCAUUUACCUACUGUUCGAACACCUCUCCGCUUACAAACAUCCGGAGGAGCAAAAGUUUUUGAUCGGAGUCAUAUUGAUGGUGCCCUGCUAUGCUGUUGAAUCUUUUGUGUCAUUGUUGAAUCCAUCAAUCAGUGUUGAUGUUGAGAUCCUUCGUGAUGGCUAUGAGUCCUUUGCAAUGUAUUGCUUUGGGAGAUAUCUCGUUGCCUGUUUAGGUGGGGAGGACAGGACUAUAGAGUUCAUGGAGAGGGAGGGACGUGCAACUUCCAAAACACCCUUACUGGAUCAUGGCUCAGAAAGGGGAAUAAUACAGCAUCACUUUCCUUUUAAUCUUUUCAUGAAGCCAUGGAAAUUGAGUCAAUGGGUUUAUCAAGUUAUCAAGUUUGGAAUUGUCCAAUAUAUGCUUAUAAAAGCAUUUACUGCUAUUCUGGCAGUAAUUCUGGAAGCUUUUGGUGUUUAUUGUGAGGGAGAGUUUAGAUGGAACUGUGGGUAUCCCUACAUGGCCGUGGUUUUAAAUUUCAGUCAAUCGUGGGCUUUGUAUUGCUUAGUGCAAUUUUACAGCAUCACAAAGGUUGAAUUAGCACACAUUAAGCCAUUAGCCAAGUUUCUGACAUUUAAGUCAAUUGUGUUCUUGACUUGGUGGCAAGGUAUCUUUAUUGCCCUUUUCUAUGAUCUUGGCCUGCUAAGAAGCCCUAUAGCUCAAGCUUUGCAGUUCCAGUCAAGUGUUCAAGAUUUUAUAAUAUGCAUUGAGCACAGAUGGGCAUCGCUUCUGUGGUUCAUCUGUAUGUGUUCCCUGCAAAGCCGUAUGAGCUGAUGGAAGACUAUUUCCCUGGAAGUGUUUCAGUUCUUGGAGACUAUAUUGGUGAAUAUCCAGUUGAUCCUGAAGAGGUUAGAGACAGUGAGCGUCCUACAAAAUUGCGCCUUCCCCAACCUGAAGUUAAUGUUAGAAGUGGAAUGACCAUCAAAGAAAGCGUUAAGGACGUUUUUGUUGGUGCUGGUGAAUUUAUUGUGAAUGAUGUGAAGUUUACUGUGACACAAGCUGUAGAGCCCAUGGAGAAGGGAAUUUCCCAUAUAAAUAAGAAACUGCAUAAGAUCUCUCAGAACAUGAAGAGGCAUGAAAAAGAGAGGAGGACUAAGGACGACAGCUGUAUUGAUUCUCCAUCUCGCAGAGUAAUUCGUGGAAUAGAUGAUCCCCUCUUAAAUGGUAGUAUGAGUGAUACUGGGAGUGUUAGGAAGAAGAGGCACCGUCGAAAAUCUGGAUACACCAGUGCAGAAAGCGGUGGUGAGAGCAGCAGUGAUCUUAGAUAUGGUGACUAUCAGAUCCGAGGCAGGAGGUGGGUUACCAAAGACUAAUGUUGCACAUGAACAGACAAUUGUGUACAGGAGAUCCCUCGGCGUGAUCUUUUUUCUCCUUCAACGCGAGGACUGCUCUCUUCAAAGCAUGUUUCUGCUGCAAUGAAGUUCAAAGUUUUCAUUUUGGAAUUACAUCAAUGCUUGGGUUUUACUCGUAUCAUCCGAUUGAAGUGGCAUCCUGAAAGGGUGUAUGGAGACACUUUGCCGUAUGCAUUACAUCAAACUUAAUAGGCGAAAAGAUUGUACCAUAGAGCUCUCUCUAAAUUGGUUGCGAAGUUUCCAAACCGUAUUAGGAUGAAUUUGCUCAACCAGUUUUUCGAACACCUCUCCUUAAAUGCAAAUCGAUGUCUUCCUUAGGUUGUUGUACCACAGACUCGUUUAAUUUUGAUCAGUUGCUGAGUUUUUCAUGGGCAGGGAUGGAUCAAGACAAUCUAAAGCUGUGUGCGCAACUUUCCAUCUCAUGAUUCUUUUCCAUAGUUGCAGUUCUGACAAGAGGAUUCUCCUCCACGACUUCAAAUAUUGCAUCUUCUCAGGGCUGAGAAUGAAUGGUGCAGUCCAACGAUGCAGGCAAGAUUUGUAAUUUUUUACUUCUAGUUGAUUGUGAUCGAUCUGGAUUUCAAAAAAGGCAUAGCUUCUUUCGUUACUACUGCUAAAUAAAUGUCAUGUGGGACGACCCUCCUUGUGUAAGAUGAUUUUAUCACCUCUCAAAAGGGCUAUCACUUUUCCUAUCGAGCAUGUUCUCAUUUUAUGUAAUGUCAAAUAGGUACCUAAAAAGUUAUGUUUGGUGAGUCAAGUCUUUCUGUAUUUUUAAACAUAAUAAUCAAGUAGCACAUCAUCAUGAUUUUUCCUUUUUUAA